GCCUGGGUGGCUCAGUCAGAAGAGCAUGAGACUCUUGAUCUCAGGUUGUGAGUUGGAGCCCCACCUUGGUG
rnacentral:tRNA from 1 species